CCCAACGAUAAAAAACUAUCAGCGGAUGUGACUCUUUGUAGGAUAUCUACUACAAACAAUCAUUUUUUUUCUGAAAUACGCAUACCAUCUAAUUUCCAGAUCAGAUAGAUUCGUAAAUACUCAUAGGUAGUUACAUACAAUAAAUUUUGUAUAAAAACUAGGUAAUUUUUUUAAUUUUUAUUAAAUGACUGUGUUCGUUUCCGAAUCGAUGUUCACGUCUUUCUUUUCAUCGCAUUGAUUGUUUCGUUGACAGUUCAGCUAAAUUACAGUAUAAGAGUUUACCUACAGAACGUUUGCGAGUUUUUCAGCGAUUUCUGCCUGAAAAGUGAAAACAAAUUACAAAUCAUUCGAAGGAAUAAUACAGUAUACCUGCAGGAUGUCGUAUUAUAAUCUAACAAGACGUAUAAUACCAUUAUUUGUAAUUCUACAAUUUCUAACAUUAUCAAAUUCGCAAGAACAAGAGCCGGAACUUCUGAGAGCCACCAAUGAACAAUUCAAAAAUAAACACGUUUUUAAGCCAACUAAAGUGGCUGCAGAUUACAUCAGAGCAUACCCACGUCUACCGCCGAUAGUCAUAAGCGUGCUUCAAGAAGAGCCCAAACAGGACGAAUACACGAAAAUACCAAGUACCACAGACACAUACAUAUCGAACGCAGCAAUCAAUUUUGAAAGUUUUUACACCAAGCAAGUUAAAGGAGAAAAACAAUACCGGUGCUUGGCAUACAACAUGAAAAUUAAAAUCAGCUUCGUAGACGCUAAGCCGGUUCAUUUUGCCAGUAAAGUCAAACCUACAGAUUUCAGAAAGGCUAACUACAAAUCUAAUUGUAAUUUUCUAAAAAAUAAACUUGCAAUUCCUGGAACUUACUAUGAAAAGAGCGCAGGAGCAGAUAUCAUUGAAGAACAGGCGAGCAUUGGUUCGAGUAGUUUUAAUACUAUAGAUGGGGCAGAUUUAUUGAUCAACGGUACCAUUGCAAAAGGAAAUUCCUCUGAAACAAUAAUUUCUGCGAUGUAGAUGUUAGAUGACGGGAUAAGAACUUACAGUUUAGAUUAUAAUUUGCUGUAUAGUUUUAGUUUCAAAUUUGAAAUUUAUUCUAUUAUAAUUAUAGGUACCGAUUAAAAAAUUUAUUCAAAUUGUAA